CGAAGGGGGCUAGCGUUGCUCGGAAUCACUGGGCGUAAAGGGUGCGUAGGCGGGUUUUUAAGUCAGGGGUGAAAUCCUGGAGCUCAACUCCAGAACUGCCUUUGAUACUGAAGAUCUUGAGUCCGGGAGAGGUGAGUGGAACUGCGAGUGUAGAGGUGAAAUUCGUAGAUAUUCGCAAGAACACCAGUGGCGAAGGCGGCUCACUGGCCCGGUACUGACGCUGAGGCACGAAAGCGUGGGGAGCAAACAGGAUUAGAUACCCUGGUAGACCACGCCGUAAACGAUGAAUGCCAGCCGUUAGUGGGUUUACUCACUAGUGGCGCAGCUAACGCUUUAAGCAUUCCGCCUGGGGAGUACGGUCGCAAGAUUA
rnacentral:rRNA from 1 species